rnacentral:rRNA from 1 species
GGGUUGUGAGGUUAAGCGACUAAGCGUACACGGUGGAUGCCCUGGCAGUCAGAGGCGAUGAAGGACGUGCUAAUCUGCGAAAAGCGUCGGUAAGGUGAUAUGAACCGUUAUAGCCGGCGAUGUCCGAAUGGGGAAACCCAGUGUGAUUCGUCACACUAUCGUUAACUGAAUACAUAGGUUAACGAGGCGAACCGGGGGAACUGAAACAUCUAAGUACCCCGAGGAAAAGAAAUCAACCGAGAUUCCCCCAGUAGCGGCGAGCGAACGGGGAGCAGCCCAGAGUCUGAAUCAGCUUGUGUGUUAGUGGAACGGUCUGGAAAGUCCGACGGUACAGGGUGAUAGUCCCGUACACCAAAAUGCACAGGCUGUGAACUCGAAGAGUAGGGCGGGACACGUGGUAUCCUGUCUGAAUAUGGGGGGACCAUCCUCCAAGGCUAAAUACUCCUGACUGACCGAUAGUGAACCAGUACCGUGAGGGAAAGGCGAAAAGAACCCCGGCGAGGGGAGUGAAAAAGAACCUGAAACCGUGUACGUACAAGCAGUGGGAGCACCUUUAUGGUGUGACUGCGUACCUUUUGUAUAAUGGGUCAGCGACUUAUAUUCUGUAGCAAGGUUAACCGUAUAGGGGAGCCGCAGGGAAACCGAGUCUUAACUGGGCGUUAAGUUGCAG